rnacentral:tRNA from 1 species
UAGCCUAGUGGUUAAGGCUAUGGAUCGCCAAUCCGGAGACGGCGGGUUCAAUUCCCGC